AGAGUUUGAUCCUGGCUCAGGAUGAACGCUGGCGGCGUGCCUAACACAUGCAAGUCGAACGGAGUUAUUAUUAUGAAGUUUUCGGAUGGAUUAAUAAUAACUUAGUGGCGGACGGGUGAGUAACGCGUGGGUAACCUGCCUCAUACAGGGGGAUAACAGUUGGAAACGGCUGCUAACACCGCAUAACAUUGCGUUGUCGC
rnacentral:rRNA from 1 species